AAAAUAUGGCAUAUCAAGCUUUUAUCAAAUGUAGGCCUAUGCAUUUUUUAUUUUACAUUGUUUGUGUGUGUUUAAAUUCAAAUGUCUACAAUAAUACAGUUAAGGCAUAUUUUUUUUUGUGUUCAUUUGAUUAGAUAAUAGCUGUUGCAACAUGACAUGCUAGAAAUAGCAUUGCAAGACCAAAACCAAAAUCAUGACCAAAAACAACAUAAUACAAGAUGUAAUUGACUAGAUUUAUGGCCUUAUUAGCCUUUUUAAUGCAGCCAAGUCUUUGUUAUUGAAUUUUUUCUCUGACUGUACAAAACAUGCAGUUUUAUUAAGGAACUUUACACAUGUCAUUUAGAUUAAAAGAGAUUUUUUCACAGGUAUUCCAAACAGAGGGUUCACAGUAAGUCUUUAGAUAAACCGUGAUUGUUUUAGUGAGUGUCAUAGCAAAAUCUUGUUAUUUGUGAGUGCAGUGGUAUGUAUCUUUUACUGUAUUAGUUGCUCUAUUCUUCUUUGUAGGAUGAUGGCAGAUCUCAACACACCUCUGUUCACACCACCUUAGCCCAGCAUGGAUAAGAAAUGUGUUUUAGAGAAUGUGGAAAAUAAAUACAGAGAAUUCAUAGCUGAGACCCUGCACUGCCUAAUUAAGCUCAAGAGAGAUCUCUUAAGCAGCCUAUUAACCUUGGACAAAAACUCAGCCUAUCCUCUCCCAAACAUCUCUGAAGACUUACGGACAGUGAUGAGGGUCAAAAAGUUUUGACCACUGGUCUCAGGUGGUCUCCUGUCAGAUAUUUUCUUCAGGAACCCAUUACUGGGAGCUGGAGGUGGAGGGAUUCUGGGAUAUAGCAGUGAACUACAGCUAUAUCCCUAUACAGCAAUGGUAGGAAAUCAAAAGAGGGCACAGCCUUUGGCUGCAACAAGAUAGAUUGUUAACCUAAUACACAAACUUUUUUAAUACCAAAUAUGAUGAUCUCUCUGCAAACGACUUCUUAAAAUAUAAAUGCACCCAUAUAUUUUCAUGUAUAAAGACUCAUUUUUACUGUGAAAAACAGAAUAUAAAUGUAUAAAAUAUAAUCAGAAAAAUGUUUACUUCCUGUUAAAUGGAUGUGGUGUCUUUUUUGUGUUUGUG
rnacentral:lncRNA from 1 species